rnacentral:rRNA from 1 species
AGGUUAACCGUAUAGGGGAGCCGUAGAGAAAUCGAGUCUUAAUAGGGCGUUUAGUUGCUGGGUAUAGACCCGAAACCAGGCGAUCUAUCCAUGAGCAGGUUGAAGGUUGGGUAACACUAACUGGAGGACCGAACCCACUGUCGUUGAAAAGCCAGGGGAUGACUUGUGGAUAGGGGUGAAAGGCUAAUCAAGCCUGGUGAUAGCUGGUUCUCCCCGAAAGCUAUUUAGGUAGCGCCUCGGACGAAUACCAUAGGGGGUAGAGCACUGUUUCGGCUAGGGGGUCAUCCCGACUUACCAAACCGAUGCAAACUCCGAAUACCUAUGAGUACUAUCCGGGAGACAGACUGCGGGUGCUAACGUCCGUAGUCAAGAGGAAAACAAUCCAGACCGCCAGCUAAGGCCCCAAAAUCAUAGUUAAGUGGGAAACGAUGUGGGAAGGCAUAGACAGCUAGGAGGUUGGCUUAGAAGCAGCCACCCUUUAAAGAAAGCGUAAUAGCUCACUAGUCGAGUCGGCCUGCGCGGAAGAUGUAACGGGGCUAAAACUAUGUGCCGAAGCUGCGGAUGUAUACUUUGUAUACGUGGUAGGGGAGCGUUCUGUAAGCCGAUGAAGGUGUGUUGAGAAGCAUGCUGGAGGUAUCAGAAGUGCGAAUGCUGACGUGAGUAACGACAAAACGGGUGAAAAACCCGUUCGCCGAAAGACCAAGGGUUCCAGUCCAACGUUAAUCGGGGCUGGGUGAGUCGACCCCUAAGGCGAGGCCGAAAGGCGUAGUCGAUGGGAAAAUGGUUAAUAUUCCAUUACUUCUGUGUAAUGCGAUGAGAGGACGGAGAAGGCUAAAUCAGCCUGGCGUUGGUUGUCCAGGUGAAAGGAUGUAGGCAUGUAUCUUAGGCAAAUCCGGGGUACUCUAUGCUGAGAUCUGAUAGCAAGCUGUACUUGUACAGCGAAGUGGUUGAUGCCAUGCUUCCAGGAAAAGUCUCUAAGCUUCAGUUACACAGGAAUCGUACCCGAAACCGACACAGGUGGUCAGGUCGAGUAGACCAAGGCGCUUGAGAGAACUCUGCUGAAGGAACUAGGCAAAAUGGUACCGUAACUUCGGGAGAAGGUACGCUGUUGUUGGUGAUGGAACUCGCUUCCUGAGCUGACGACAGCCGCAGAAACCAGGCCGCUGCAACUGUUUAUUAAAAACAUAGCACUCUGCAAACACGAAAGUGGACGUAUAGGGUGUGAUGCCUGCCCGGUGCUGGAAGGUUAAUUGAUGGGGUUAGCGUAAGCGAAGCUCUUGAUCGAAGCCCCAGUAAACGGCGGCCGUAACUAUAACGGUCCUAAGGUAGCGAAAUUCCUUGUCGGGUAAGUUCCGACCUGCACGAAUGGCAUAAUGAUGGCGGCGCUGUCUCCAGCAGAGGCUCAGUGAAAUCGAAAUCGCUGUGAAGAUGCAGUGUACCCGCGGCUAGACGGAAAGACCCCGUGAACCUUUACUGCAGCUUGACACUGAACUUUGACCUUACUUGUGUAGGAUAGGUGGGAGGCUUUGAAGCUGGAACGCUAGUUCCAGUGGAGCCGUCCUUGAAAUACCACCCUGGUAAUGUUGAGGUUCUAACUCUGUCCCGUGAUCCGGGACGAGGACCGUGUCUGGUGGGUAGUUUGACUGGGGCGGUCUCCUCCUAAAGAGUAACGGAGGAGUACGAAGGUGCGCUCAGCGUGGUCGGAAAUCACGCGUAGAGUAUAAAGGCAAAAGCGCGCUUAACUGCGAGACCCACAAGUCGAGCAGGUACGAAAGUAGGUCUUAGUGAUCCGGUGGUUCUGUAUGGAAGGGCCAUCGCUCAACGGAUAAAAGGUACUCUGGGGAUAACAGGCUGAUACCGCCCAAGAGUUCAUAUCGACGGCGGUGUUUGGCACCUCGAUGUCGGCUCAUCUCAUCCUGGGGCUGAAGCAGGUCCCAAGGGUAUGGCUGUUCGCCAUUUAAAGAGGUACGCGAGCUGGGUUUAGAACGUCGUGAGACAGUUCGGUCCCUAUCUACCGUGGGCGCUGGAAAUUUGAGAGGAUCUGCUCCUAGUACGAGAGGACCAGAGUGGACGAACCUCUGGUGUACCGGUUGUGACGCCAGUCGCAUCGCCGGGUAGCUAUGUUCGGAAGGGAUAACCGCUGAAAGCAUCUAAGCGGGAAGCCUACCUCAAGAUAAGAUUUCCCUAGGACUUUAUGUCCUCUAAAGAGCCGUUCGAGACUAGGACGUUGAUAGGUUGGAUGUGGAAGCAUAGUGAUAUGUGAAGCUGACCAAUACUAAUUGCUCGUGAGGCUUGACU